AUUCGCCCUUAGAGUUUGAUCCUGGCUCAGAAUGAACGCUGGCAGCAUGGAUUAGGCAUGCAAGUCGAACGAGAAUCCGGGCUUCGGCCCGGAGGAGAGUGGCGCAAGGGUGAGUAACACGUGAGUAAUCUGCCCCGAAGUCUGGGAUAGCCCAUGGAAACGUGGAUUAAUACCGGAUGUGGCUGUAUGAACUGCGGUUCUAACAGUUAAAGAUUCAUCGCUUCGGGAUGAGCUCGCGGUCCAUCAGCUUGUUGGUGAGGUAACGGCUCACCAAGGCGACGACGGAUAGCUGGUCUGAGAGGAUGACCAGUCACACUGGGACUGAGACACUGCCCAGACUCCUACGGGAGGCUGCAGUCGAGAGUCUUCCGCAAUGGGCGCAAGCCUGACGGAGCGAUGCUGCGUGCCGGACGAAGGCCUUCGGGUCGUAAACGGCUGUCACUCGGGACGAAUUUUGACGGUACCGAGAGAGGAAGCCACGGCUAACUACGUGCCAGCAGCCGCGGUAAUACGUAGGUGGCGAGCGUUAUUCGGAAUUAUUGGGCCUAGAGGGUUCGUAGGGGUAAUGUAAGUCCCGGUGUGAAAUCUCGAGGCUCAACCUCGAAACUGCAUUGGAAACUGCAUUACUUGAAGUGUCAGAGAGGAAAGCGGACUU
rnacentral:rRNA from 1 species